UGGGAGGACCAUCUCCUAAGGCUAAAUACUCUCUAGUGACCGAUAGUGAACCAGUACCGUGAGGGAAAGGUGAAAAGCACCCCGGAAGGGGAGUGAAAUAGAACCUGAAACCGUGUGCUUACAAGUAGUCAGAGCCCGUUAAUGGGUGAUGGCGUGCCUUUUGUAGAAUGAACCGGCGAGUUACGAUUUGAUGCAAGGUUAAGCAGUAAAUGUGGAGCCGUAGCGAAAGCGAGUCUGAAUAGGGCGUUUAGUAUUUGGUCGUAGACCCGAAACCAGGUGAUCUACCCUUGGUCAGGUUGAAGUUCAGGUAACACUGAAUGGAGGACCGAACCGACUUACGUUGAAAAGUGAGCGGAUGAACUGAGGGUAGCGGAGAAAUUCCAAUCGAACCUGGAGAUAGCUGGUUCUCUCCGAAAUAGCUUUAGGGCUAGCCUCAAGUGAUGAUUAUUGGAGGUAGAGCACUGUUUGGACGAGGGGCCCCUCUCGGGUUACCGAAUUCAGACAAACUCCGAAUGCCAAUUAAUUUAACUUGGGAGUCAGAACAUGGGUGAUAAGGUCCGUGUUCGAAAGGGAAACAGCCCAGACCACCAGCUAAGGUCCCAAAAUAUAUGUUAAGUGGAAAAGGAUGUGGCGUUGCCCAGACAACUAGGA
rnacentral:rRNA from 1 species